rnacentral:rRNA from 1 species
GAUGAACGCUGGCGGCGUGCUUAACACAUGCAAGUCGAGCGAGAAAUCGCGGAAGGAAGCUUCGGUAGAAUUCUGUGAUGGAAAGCGGCGGACGGGUGAGUAACGCGUGGGAAACCUGCCCUUGACAGGGGGACAGCCGAGGGAAACUUCGAUUAAUACCCCAUAACGCAGAGAGACCGCAUGGUCAUUCUGCCAAAGAAUUAUCGGUCAGGGAUGGUCCCGCGUCUGAUUAGCUGGUUGGUGAGGCAGCGGCUCACCAAGGCGACGAUCAGUAGCCGGCCUGAGAGGGUGAACGGCCACAUUGGAACUGAGACACGGUCCAG